rfam:Pteropus alecto contig163655, whole genome shotgun sequence.
CCGUGCUAACGGACAUCCUGGACACGUUCAUAACCAGCCAGGAACAGCUGUCAUGGCAGAAUCCAGUCCCCCACCAUUUUCCGACCUCUCCUUAGAGCUGGUUGGAGGAGAAGUUGGGGAGGCGAGGCGGAGG